UACAGAGGUCUCAAGCGUUGUUCGGAUUCAUUGGGCGUAAAGGGUGCGUAGGCGGAUAGGUAAGUCCGUGGUGAAAUCCUGCAGCUUAACUGCAGAACUGCCAUGGAUACUAUUUAUCUUGAAUAUCGUGGAGGUUAGCGGAAUAUGUCAUGUAGCGGUGAAAUGCUUAGAUAUGACAUAGAACACCCAUUGCGAAGGCAGCUAACUACGCGAUGAUUGACGCUGAUGCACGAAAGCGUGGGGAUCAAACGGG
rnacentral:rRNA from 1 species